rnacentral:rRNA from 1 species
UACAGAGGGUGCAAGCGUUAAUCGGAAUUACUGGGCGUAAAGCGUGCGCAGACGGUUGCGUAAGUCAGAUGUGAAAUCCCCGGGCUCAACCUGGGAACUGCAUUCGAAACUGGCAGGCUAGAGUCUUGUAGAGGGGGGUAGAAUUCCAGGUGUAGCGGUGAAAUGCGUAGAGAUCUGGAGGAAUACCGGUGGCGAAGGCGGCCCCCUGGACAAAGACUGACGCUCAGGUGCGAAAGCGUGGGGAGCAAACAGG